GCAAUGCACGCAAGUGUGACGGGGCUACCCCGAGUGCCGUCCGCUGAGGAUGGCUUUUCCUUGGUGUAACUAGCCGGGGGAAUAAGGAGAGUGCAAGACUGGUGUCAGCCGCCGCGGUAAUACCAGCUCUCCGAGUAGUGUGGAUGUUUAUUGGGCCUAAAGCAUCCGUAGCUUGCUAAGCAAGUCCCCUGUUAAAUCCACCGAUUAAUCGAUGGUUUGCGGGGGAUACUGUUUGGCUAGGGGACGGGAGAGGUCGACGGUAUUUCCGGGGUAGGGGUGAAAUCCUAUAAUCCCGGGAGGACCACCAGUGGCGAAGGCUGUCGACUAGAACGCGCCCGACGGUGAGGGAUGAAAGCUGGGGGAGCGAACCGGAUUAGAUACCCGGGUAGUCCCAGCUGUAAACGAUGCAGGCUAGGUGUUUGGGCGGCCACGAGCCGCCCUAGUGCCGCAGGGAAGCUGUUAAGCCUGCCGCCUGGGGAGUACGGCCCAAGGCUGAAACUUUA
rnacentral:rRNA from 1 species